AGGGAAAAUUGGUGGAUUUCAAGUAAUCAAGCAAUCAAAGGUGGUGAGCUAUUUGAUAAGGAUAAAGAGAUUACACCAAAGAUCGGGACUAGGAGUAUUUCUACUCCUGAUACUGCUCGGGAUAGCCGGUAGAUAGCCUAUUGCAUCAAGGA